AUAGARGGUGAGAAUCCCGUCUUUGACACGGACUGCCARGGCUUUGUGAUGCGCUCUCAAAGAGUCGAGUUGUUUGGGAAUGCAGCUCAAAAUGGGUGGUAAAUUCCAUCUAAAGCUAAAUAUUGGCGAGAGACCGAUAGCGAACAAGUACCGUGAGGGAAAGAUGAAAAGAACUUUGGAAAGAGAGUUAAACAGUACGUGAAAUUGCUGAAAGGGAAACGCUUGAAGUCAGUCGCGUUGGCCGGAAAUCAACCUUGCUUUUGCUGGGCGUACUUUCCGGUUGAUGGGUCAGCAUCAAUUUUGACCGUUGGAUAAAGUUCAGGGGAAUGUGGCAUCUUCGGAUGUGUUAUAGCCCUUGUUCGCAUACAACGGUUGGGAUUGAGGAACUCAGCACGCCGCAAGGCCGGGUAUUUAUACCACGUUCGUGCUUAGGAUGCUGGCAUAAUGGCUUUAAUCGACCCGUCUUGAAACACGGACCAAGGAGUCUAACAUGCCUGCGAGUGUUUGGGUGGAAAACCCGAGCGCGUAAUGAAAGUGAAAGUUGAGAUCCCUGUCGCGGGGAGCAUCGACGCCCGGACCAGACCUUUUGUGACGGAUCCGCGGUAGAGCAUGUAUGUUGGGACCC
rnacentral:rRNA from 1 species